rnacentral:rRNA from 1 species
CUUACCAUGCAAGUCGCACGAUGCCUUUCGGGGUGUAGUGGCGGACGGGUGAGUAUCGCGUAGGGAUUUGUCGUUGGGUGGGGGAUAACCUUGGGAAACUGGGGCUAAUACCGCAUGACGCCUGUGGGCCAAAGCUUGCAAGAGCGCCUGACGAGGAGCCUGCGUCCGAUUAGGUAGUUGGUUGGGUAAUGGCUGACCAAGCCUGCGAUCGGUAGCUGGUCUGAGAGGAUGAUCAGCCACACUGGGACUGAGACACGGCCCAGACUCCUACGGGAGGCAGCAGUGGGGAAUAUUGGACAAUGGGCGCAAGCCUGAUCCAGCAAUGCCGCGUGGAUGAAGAAGGUUUUCGGAUUGUAAAGUCCUUUCGACGGGGACGAUGAUGACGGUACCCGUAGAAGAAGCCCCGGCUAACUUCGUGCCAGCAGCCGCGGUAAUACGAAGGGGGCUAGCGUUGCUCGGAAUGACUGGGCGUAAAGGGCGCGUAGGCGGAAUGCUUUGUCGGGCGUGAAAUUCCAGGGCUUAACCUUGGGGCUGCGUUCGAGACGGGUAUUCUAGAGUUUGGAAGAGGGUCGUGGAAUUCCCAGUGUAGAGGUGAAAUUCGUAGAUAUUGGGAAGAACACCGGUGGCGAAGGCGGCGACCUGGUCCUUGACUGACGCUGAGGCGCGAAAGCGUGGGGAGCAAACAGGAUUAGAUACCCUGGUAGUCCACGCUGUAAACGAUGUGCGCUGGAUGUUGGGACACCUAGUGUUUCAGUGUCGUAGCUAACGCGGUAGCGCACGCCUGGGGAGUA